UUAGCCUUCAUGGGCUAUUCUCAUCGAAGCCAGUUUGAAUUAAUCUCAUGUGAUGUGAAGAGACACCAUACUGGAGGCUUCAUCAUGGUAAAAAUCAGAGACAUGUGGGAACCAGAUGCUAUGUUUUAUUAAAAUUUUCAUAAUUUGAAAAGAAAUUUGAGUUCUGAGUCAGCAGUUUAUUUUUAUGAAGAGCACUUCAUUGCACACCUCACAUGGACAGGCAUUAAAUCCCAUUGAUACAGUCACCAGCCCAUGUGAAAGCACUCCAGCCUUUGGGAAGUAGACAAAAAAACAUCUCUGAGAUGUAUGGAGGAGGUGGUUGUGGGGGCUACCUUUGGAAAAGUGGAAGAAGUGUAAAGCCCUCUCAGUGACCAGAACCCACAAAUGUUUUCUUUCCCAAGUAGUCUGAAAAUGUGGUAGCCAACAACUGAAGGCCUCCAAAAGGAUGCAUUUUAACUGUUUUCUUGCAGAAUAUGUGCGUGGGAUGAACCAACGUGUUGCUUGGCUCCUGUAUAUUGGGAUGUAGGAAAAGAGCCCCCAUAUACACACUGACUGUAUGCCCUCGAGGCAAAAUGAGAGAUUCAGACACUAAACAAUGGAAAAUCUCUGGUGAAUUACCUCUUGUCUCUUUACAAAUGCCUUUAUUGUCUCAUUAUAGCACCCAAGGCUGUGUUUGCUUGGGAGAAUCGAGGAAAAUAAGUCAAAGGGGACUGUGCUCUCAUCGGCUUCCUACCUUUACAUGGAAGGCAUCAGGAGAAGGCAGAUCCAUCACAUUUGUUUGUAGACCUUGGAAAAAAGCCUGGGAGUAGCAGAAUCCCAGGUGAUCAGGGGAAAACUUUUCCCUCAGAGCCAGAGUGAGGAAGAGAUGGGAAAUGUUCAUCACAGGCUGCCCUUUCUUAGGGCUUUCCCAUCUCAUGGAUUUUAUUUGUGCGUCAGGAUAAUUCGAGAUUCGCUGGAGCUUGCUUAAAGAGGAUUGUGCUGGGAAUCUCAGUCGGGGUCAAGGCAGACAGUUUGCUUUGGCAAGCAUGGUGUGAGCAUAGCUAGAUGAGUGGCUGACCACCGCCUUCGCCUCGCCUACGGAUGAUCCUGCCCAUUUACCUUGGGCGAUGGCCAGCAGUUCCUGCUAGAUUCAUGUUACGGGGCUGUGUUUGAACUCCUCUCCAUCAUCCAGGCACCCAGAUGUGUGGCAGACGCACACACGCACCGUGCUACAGAUGCUAUGCAUUGGCUGCAGCUGAGGUAAAUAUUAUUUCUAUACCAUGAUGAGGAUGAAAUAAUAUCUCUGGAGGAUUUGGAAGAAAGACGGAGGAGACUCGGUUUGUCAUGGUCUGCCCUUGGGCUCCUUUGUUUUGGAACACAUUGUUAUACAACAAGAAAUAAAACAGAAAAAGAAAAUACAACCCACUAACGAGGGGGAUUUCAACCCGCACGCAAAUCCUGGGCAGCUCCUUCCAGGAAAACAGAGCACAUUGUUUGUGAUGGCAUUCCCCACCAAAAUGGCUCAGGGCCCGAGUUGAUGCUGAGGAGGAAAUUCUGCAUCUCCAAAGCUGAAAGGUUUGCACGCUUUCAUCCCUUGCCUCCACCAGUUCCCAUUCACACCUUGCUGAGGGAUGGAGGGAGGGAGAGGGUGGUGGAGAGCAAGGAGAUAAACUGGACCUCGGGAUGCUCCACCUUUGGAGACCUUGAGCCUACAUGACACAGCAACGUGAGAGCAGCACAGCCACCCCAUGCAAAAGGAGAGGGGCACGGGUUGCACUUACUUAUUUUACAGAUAGCUGCUCAUGCAAUGAUGCUUGCUGGUGAAACACACACAGCUGCUGAUCUCCCCAGCUCCUGCCUGGGAUAAGGUUUCCCUUCUCUCCCCCUUGGUUUCCCUGUGCUAUUAGGACGGCUGCCUGCCCCUCGCCUCACCUCUGAGGAACUCACAGCUGCUCAGACCCAGCUUACGCAGUGCCUGACACCAGGGGGUCCUCAGCCUGGAGGAGACAGUAGGAAAAUACAGACUAAGGUAAUUGGUAAAACCCCAUCCAUAAAUUAAAAGUUCAGGAUUGCAACUCAUGUUUUUGAACUCUAAGCACAUCUGUUUUCUCUACCAAAGACUCUUAUUCUAGUAGGAAAACUAUAAUAAUGUCAAAAUCCUAUAUAAUGGGGAAAAAAGAGAAUGCGGCAGGACCAUGAGGUCACUUUGGAUCAUAUUUCUUGCCCCAUACCUGGUGCUGUGUAUCACAUCCAAAGAACAUCACAGCCACAGGAGGACCCUGUCCCUGUCCCCAUCCCUGUCCCCAUAAGCAGCUGUGCCAUGGGGAGCAAGGGAUAACCAAUACCAUGACAAUGUGCCUUUUCCACCCUUUUCCUCUCUUACCUCCGUGUAAAUAUACUAAAUUACCUGUGACAUCCCAUGCCAAGUUUUUAAACAGGGUUUUCUGAAGAAGAGACUGAGGUGUGCCUUGCUGUGAAGGCAGCCAGGGGAAGGAGAGGGUGUUUUGUGGUUCCCCCUGCCAGAUAUGCUCAUCUCCCCUUUCCAGUGCAUCCCUCCUGUGUAAAGUUACCCACCGUGAGUAAUGCUUUCUCCUCACCCAUGUCUUUCUAAAAAUAAAGGAAAAAAAAAAAAAAAAGAGAGAGACAAAAGAAGAAACCUUCUUGUGCUGCCCACCCUUUAAAUAAAACAGGAGCACGUCAGAACCCUUGCUUUGACCCCAUACCCCUAUUUACAGCUGUGCUCCCGGAGCUGGGACACUCAGCGCCAAAAGUCCCUCCCAGUCCGUGCUGUAAAGCACCCCUACUUACACCCCUUUUUCCCUAAACAUCUAAAGCACGGGGGGGCUUUUCCACACCCUCUCCUGGUCCUCACCCUCCCAACCCCGUGAAACCUGAGUCCGGAGCUCAGGUUUCCUCACGCUUUCCAUCUUCUCACUGAGCAAAGCAGCUGUGGGCUCUCCAUCAGGGACCUCAGAGGCAAGGGAUCCACCGAGGAAAAUUUUUGUAUCACCCAGGAAAACACCCACAGUCAGGGCUUUGCAGGAGCUGCUCUCUGGCAAUGCCAAAAAAUACCCAAAGGCAGGAGGUUACGUUGAGGUUACGUUGUCAUCAUUCUCCAACAUCUCACCAACUGCAACGCAAUAGAUCACUUUGAGCAAUUUUGUCAAAAAAUGGCCCUUUAGAGGGAAAAAAAAAAAAAAAAAAAAAAAAAAAAAAGACACUCGAAUUUGUGGCUUGAUGUAAAUUUUUUCAGUUGGAAAUACUGCCUUUUGGGGGGAACUUUUCAAUUCUUUUAUUUAAACGUUCACACAAGUUGUGAAAAAGCCUGAAAAUCAAUUUCAAAACUGAGCUGGAAAACCUCCUCUCAGGCAGAUCUGUUUCCCAGCUUGUUCACCACCACUAAUAACGUGUGCCUUUCUAGCCCCGAUCAUCUUAAAAGCCCAGACAACUUGAGAUACCAUGCUUCAGCAUGGUCCUUAACUGGAAAUAGAAGUAGCCAUGCAUUUCCCAUCAGGAGACGGCUGCUGGAAAUCUUUCAUUGCUAUAAUUUUCUGCCUGUAAAUGUUGGUUUUACCCCAUACUCCUUUCCAUUUUAAAAAGGGCUGGUGGUACAAAUAGUCUCU